UUUAUUUUUUAUAUUUGUUAUAUAUAUUUGCUAUAUAUAUGUUUGUUUAGUUCUGGUCUUUUAGUGUCAUUAUUUAUUUGUCAUGUGUCUGAUAUUUAUCUUCAUUAUAUAUCAUUUAGGCAAUUUAUAUGAGCACAGUUUCAGCUUAUUGUAGCAAACUACUAACUCCCUCCAGUGUUGGCGCCUUUCUGCGUUGUGGGUUCAAUUUCCUCAUUCAAAAUUUGUCUUUUUCUUUUCUUCACCUGCAUCAUCUCAUGAUUCUAUGUCCCCUUACUACUAUUUUUAGGGUCUUAUACUGAUAUUUAUUUUCAUUAUAUAUUAUUUAGGCAAUUUAUAUGAGCACAGUUUCAGCUUAUUUUAGCAAACUACUAACACCCUUCAGUGUUGGCUUUUCUGCGUUGUGUGUUCAAUUUCCUCAUUCAAAAUUUGUCUUUU
rnacentral:lncRNA from 1 species